rnacentral:rRNA from 1 species
AGUGGCGAACGGGUGAGUAACACGUGGGCAAUCUGCCCUGUACUUUGGGAUAAGCCUGGGAAACUGGGUCUAAUACCGGAUAUCACUUUCCCUCGCAUGGGGGUUGGUUGAAAGUUCUGGCGGUACAGGAUGAGCCCGCGGCCUAUCAGCUUGUUGGUGGGGUAAUGGCCUACCAAGGCGACGACGGGUAGCCGGCCUGAGAGGGUGACCGGCCACACUGGGACUGAGACACGGCCCAGACUCCUACGGGAGGCAGCAGUGGGGAAUAUUGCACAAUGGGCGAAAGCCUGAUGCAGCGACGCCGCGUGAGGGAUGACGGCCUUCGGGUUGUAAACCUCUUUCGCCAGGGACGAAGCGCAAGUGACGGUACCUGGAUAAGAAGCACCGGCUAACUACGUGCCAGCAGCCGCGGUAAUACGUAGGGUGCGAGCGUUGUCCGGAAUUAUUGGGCGUAAAGAGCUCGUAGGCGGUUUGUCGCGUCGUUCGUGAAAACUCCACGCUUAACGUGGAGCGUGCGGGCGAUACGGGCAGACUUGAGUUCGGUAGGGGAGACUGGAAUUCCUGGUGUAGCGGUGAAAUGCGCAGAUAUCAGGAGGAACACCGGUGGCGAAGGCGGGUCUCUGGGCCGAUACUGACGCUGAGGAGCGAAAGCGUGGGGAGCGAACAGGAUUAGAUACCCUGGUAGUCCACGCUGU